GAGUGAAAUAGAACCUGAAACCGUGUACGUACAAGCAGUAGGAGCACCUUCGUGGUGUGACUGCGUACCUUUUGUAUAAUGGGUCAGCGACUUAAUUUUAGUAGCAAGGUUAACCGUUUAGGGGAGCCGUAGGGAAACCGAGUCUUAACUGGGCGUACAGUUGCUAGGAUUAGACCCGAAACCAGGUGAUCUAGCCAUGGGCAGGUUGAAGGUUGAGUAACAUCAACUGGAGGACCGAACCGACUAAUGUUGAAAAAUUAGCGGAUGACUUGUGGCUAGGGGGGAAAGGCCAAUCAAACCUGGAGAUAGCUGGUUCUCCCCGAAAGCUAUUUAGGUAGCGCCUCGGACGAAUACUACUGGGGGUAGAGCACUGUUAAGGCUAGGGGGUCAUCCCGACUUACCAACCCUUUGCAAACUCCGAAUACCAGUAAGUACUAUCCGGGAGACACACGGCGGGUGCUAACGUCCGUCGUGGAGAGGGAAACAACCCAGACCGCCAGCUAAGGUCCCAAAGUAUAGCUAAGUGGGAAACGAUGUGGGAAGGCUCAGACAGCCAGGAUGUUGGCUUAGAAGCAGCCAUCAUUUAAAGAAAGCGUAAUAGCUCACUGGUCGAGUCGGCCUGCGCGGAAGAUGUAACGGGGCUAAGCUAUACACCGAAGCUGCGGCUACGUACCUUAGGGUAUGUGGGGUAGGGGAGCGUUCUGUAAGCCGUUGAAGGUGUGCUGUAAGGCAUGCUGGAGGUAUCAGAAGUGCGAAUGCUGACAUGAGUAACGAUAAAGGGAGUGAAAAACUCCCUCGCCGGAAGACCAAGGGUUCCUGUCCAACGUUAAUCGGGGCAGGGUAAGUCGACUCCUAAGGCGAGGCCGAAAGGCGUAGUCGAUGGGAAACGGGUUAAUAUUCCCGUACUUCUUACAAUUGCGAUGGGGGGACGGAGAAGGCUAGGUGGGCCUGGCGACGGUUGUCCAGGUUCAAGUAUGGAGGCGGAAAGUUUAGGUAAAUCCGGACUUUCUUAACGCUGAGAUACGAUGUCGAGCUACUACGGUAGUGAAGUCAUUGAUGCCAUGCUUCCAGGAAAAGCCUCUAAGCUUCAGAUUGUAAGGAAUCGUACCCCAAACCGACACAGGUGGUCGGGUAGAGAAUACCAAGGCGCUUGAGAGAACUCGGGUGAAGGAACUAGGCAAAAU
rnacentral:rRNA from 1 species